UGAUGACAAAUCUCCGGAAUCUCUGUAUCUCUUUGAUGAUGCCCGAACCCUUUUAUCUGAUGACUGCCUGAAUUUCUAAGACAUC